rnacentral:piRNA from 1 species
UGUAUAUAUGAGGUUCCAAAAUAGGC